GGAAUUGUUCACAAUGGGCGCAAGCCUGAUGACGCAACGCCGCGUGGGGGAUGAAGGUCUUCGGAUCGUAAACCCCUGUCGAAUGGGACGAAUAGCUUCCGGAUCAAUACCCCGGAGGAAUGACGGUACCGUUAAAGGAAGCCCCGGCCACCUCUGUGCCAGCAGCCGCGGUAAUACAGAGGUGGCAAGCGUUGUUCGGAAUUACUGGGCGUAAAGGGCGCGUAGGCGGCCAUCUAAGUCAGACGUGAAAUCCCCCGGCUCAACCUGGGAACUGCGUCUGAUACUGGAAGGCUCGAGUUUGGGAGAGGGAUGUAGAAUUCCAGGUGUAGCGGUGAAAUGCGUAGAUAUCUGGAGGAAUACCGGUGGCGAAGGCGGCAUCCUGGACCAAUACUGACGCUCAUGUGCGAAAGCGUGGGGAGCAA
rnacentral:rRNA from 1 species